ensembl:lncRNA
ACAGGCAAGUGUUAUUCUUUCUUCACAGGAAGACCCAGAGAAACCAGGAUAGAAUUGAGAUCCCUGAUGAGUCUUCUGAGGGAAUCAGCCCCAUUCCUUGGAAAACAACUUGGACAGAUUGGAUGAUUUCUGUUAACCUGGUGAUUCAGAGCCAUCGAUACAUCAUGAGGGAGCUGGAGUUGGGGCUCCAUGUUCUUGGUGGUGACUGAGCCAUAUUCUUGGUGGGCUUGCUCAUGGGACCACAGGGCUGGACAUCCUCAGAGCAACUACACACCCACUAGCCAGCACAGCACCCCGUGGCCUCCCCAGGACAGGUCAGCGUCCUGCUGUGCUCUCCCAUCCUCAAACGGAGAGACUGCCUGACUGAGAACCACAUGUGCUCCAUGCUUCCAGGUCAGGAUGCCCCACCCCCUUUGGUUGUGCUGACCUUUGGGAGUAGCAGGGCUGGGCCUUUGUCCCAGGACUGGGCAAGCCUCUCCCUGAUGCCCCACUUCGUAGUGUUCUGUAUGACCCAAGGAUUCUGCUCUGUGGAUGAUCAACCAUCCAGAUACCCAUACCUGUAGUGGACACUGCUGACCUCCAGGUGGUGGCCAAGGGCAGUCCCAGUCUUUUUGCUUGCCAGGCCACUGCAGACUCCUCUCCCUCCUCCUUUCUGUUCUCUCCGUCUGCAUUUCAAUCCUUCUUCAUUCCCUCCCACUCUAUACCCCACCCUCUUUCCCUUUCUCCCACUUGGUUGAGGUUUCCUCUUAGACUUAGCAAACAUCCUGGCCUGAAUUAUGUAAGCCCCACCUGCAGCUGGACAGAGCAGUGUAAAAAUAAAA